GCUGGGAUGUCCGAGUUGGUCCAAGGAGCCAGAUUUAAGUAGGGCAUUAUAUCGCCUGAUGAUUCCUGGUAGGGAAACCUGCGUGGGUUCGAACCCCACUCCCAGCA